GCGCCCAGAGCCCGCCCACCCCGGUGGGAAACGCUUUUUUAAAACAUCUUUUUGUUGUUGUUAUUAUUGAUCUUCCCUGCGGUACGGGGAUGUGGCAGUGAGCCGUCCCCAGGUGCGCAAGAGCGGGUUAAACCCACCAACCCCCCCUCCUGAAAGGGAAUAUACAGAGGUGGGCGAUAAACGUUUAGUUUUAAAUAUCUUUACAUUAUUAUUUCUCUCCUCCCGGCCGGCUGAAAAGUGCUCUCCUCGCUGCUGGCCUCAGCCACCGUACACGUGCGCUUUCUGCAAAUCCUGAUUUAAGCCAAAUGUUUUGACUUUCCGUACAACUGCACACAAUUUGGAGGCUGUCGAAUGGUUGUAAGAGCCGAAGUGUGCCUGGCUGCGAAUUAUCCGGGCUGUCUCUUCUGGAAGUUAAAUCGUUAAAUAGCCGUCAUGUUACAAUAGGAACAAAUAUUCUCAUGAACCGUUGCACCGGAUAAUGUACAGCAGUAAACCAGCUCCCUUCAUGAGUGGAUCAUGAGUCCUGCUUUGAGCCAGAGCUUCUGUUGCUCAGCUACAAUCCAUUGUCUGCCUUCAUCUGCCUGGUACCAUCCUAAUACAUGAUGAGGCAUGUGCUCAGAAUUUGCCACUUUGCUGACUGUAUGAACAGAAACAGAAAUCUGAAGGAUGCUUUGGAGAUGCUUUUUACAAUGUAAUAUAAACACAGUGAGUGGGCCUCUUCAGAAGUCUGUGGAUGUGCCCACACUUGGACAGUUGCUGGGCCUAGCUGAUUCAGGGAAGAACAUAAAGAAGUCAUUGAUUCAAUGGGAAACAUUUACCCAAGAGUUGUGUUCAAACAGCUUAGGUCUCAGAAUGGAAUUCCACAUUGAUAAUUUUCAAUAUUAAUUUAAAAACUUACUUUGGCAUCUGAGAAUUACUUUCUAGGUUGGUUUAAAUAACCAGUUAUCAUAUUUGUUAAUUUUCUUUCUAUGGCAUUGUAGGCAAAUUAAUUGUAUGUUAAGUCUGGAAUAAUUUUGAAGAUUUAAUUUAUGACCCAACUAUACUUGCCCUUUAAAAAGUCCAAAGGGCAGAGACUUACAAGCCUUACAUGUUCAUAUGGAACCAGCAGAGAAGGCCUCAGCAUGUGGGUGUCCUGUAAGCAAUACUGAAAUAUAAAUGUUAAAUUAUAAUAUCUUCUGAAGGUAAGAGCUGUGGUUUUUGCAAACCUUUUGCACACUUAUGUGUGAAUGCCAGGCAGACAAGCACUCUGGAGUUUGAAAGAUGACCCCUUUUGAACUAUAAGCAUCCCAUCUCAGUAUGAUUCCUGGGGAGAAAAUCUUGUUGCAAGGCUCUGGAUUUAUGCAGGCCCUGUGGAGUUCACUGGUGGGUUUAUUUGGCAGGUGGGCCUUAUUAACCUGCCAGCAAGGGACUGCUUGACCUGCUCAGGUCUGUGGAGCUUGUAAAUAAAGAUUCUGUCAGGGAAGAGAGAUUCUCUUGUGCUUCAGACUAUUUAUAUCUCUGCUAACUGUGGCUGUUAAAGCUUAUAAAGAAACAGAAGGUCUGGGAUGUGAGACAGAAAACCCUGAGGGAGUUUUACGUGUUGUGUUUGGAUUGCUGUGUUAAUAUCCUAAAAUAAACACAGCAUGCCAGAAAAUGGGGAAUAUUUUUAUUGUAAUUAUUAUUAACUCAAAGACAUAAAUUAUUAGUUAUUGAAUGGAGCAUGGCUGAGCUUGGCUGUAGGGGACAAUAAAAUAACCUCUUAAUUUAACACUAGCAGCUAUUGGCAAUCAAUGGGAACCAGACAUUUAAUCAGCUUCAUUUCCCUCUUUUUUGCUAUCUAUUUUUUUCUCUUUUUUUUUGCAGUUUUCAAGUUAAAUAAUUACUAGUAUUUACAUUUUUUACAGCUCAGGUUAGUAAUUAAUACAAUAAAGUUUACAAUAAAUUGUAAUCAUAAUAAAACUAUGAUAGACUAUCCAUUAAUUGAAUAAUUUUAAUUGGACAGAAAUAUUAUAUUGAAAGGUGUAUUGUAUUACAGAUUGAAAAAAAAACCCUUUAAUAAGUCUUCUUGUCUGUCUAGUGCAGGUCUGAUUACAGGGUCCUCUCUAACUCUGCAAUAUGUAAUUUUUAAUAGGUGUAUCUUAUUCAGUGAAAGGACUAUGCUAUUUUAUUUCUAUUCCUUAUAAUGUAAGAAAAUAUUUUUCUUUUACUCAGAAGCUACCAGUUUGGACUAGCUGAACAAUCUUUUUGGGAAAGGUUUCCUUCUGUUUCAGCAGACCUACUCAGACACCCAAGUGCUACUGCAGAUCAAAUGACAGCGAGUUCAGCGUCCGCCAGAGCUGAGCUUUUGAGUCUGUAUUCCUUGUUCAUUCAUUCAAAAGGCAAUUUUGGAAUAUUUCUGUCCUGAAUGGACUCAACAAAUGUUUUUUGACCUCAGUCAGGUUGGACUGAUCUGGUACUUAGGCAUUUUGUUUUAAAAUAUUCUAUAUUAACAGCCACCAGUUUAUAGAGAAUCUGUUGAAUUUACAAUUGCAAUCAUAGUGUCUGCAAAAGUAUUUCACUCUAGAGCUGCUGCAGUGGCCCAGGAGAGCUUGCUGGUGAGGAAGGACAAGUAGGGUAUUACUGCUGCUGCACACUCAGUGGAGAAUGGCUUCCAAAUUUUUCCAGUCACCAAAACUUUACAAGUGGAAGCUGCUUGGGAGAAACAUGAAGACAGGCCCUUUGUUCUUUUCUUCCACCUCCUUUCCAGUGGGCAUCUACUUGGUGAGCUGGAUGCCCUGGCUCCCAGCCCUGCUGUGCACCUGUUCCAGGGGGAUUAGGCACUGGUGACAGCCCAUACCCAGAAUUUCCUCCACAGAUGGCAUUACCCUUCAACAAGUGAGUCACAACCAUUUGACUUGGAGCUUUUUAUAGUUGUUGUUGAGGGUAAUGAUAAUCAUCCUAAUAAAGUAGUUCUUAACCUCUCAUACUGAAUAGUUUGCCAUUGGUUGAAGAAGAUACCAAGCUGCCCUUCACUCCCAUCCCUAUCAGCUUUACCAGCACUGGCAAAACACUGUUAAGCUUUUACAAUCAUCUGUCAUUACAGUGGGAAGUGAGUGUUGUCUGGUGGAUGAGAUACCAGGCUGAGGGCAGAAUUGACUCCGCUAAUUAAUUCACCAGUGGGAAAUCUAAGACUGUAUUACUUCCUCUGCUAUUUUGAUUUUCCUAAUGAUAAAUACAUUCAUUUGAGAAUUCAAUAAACAGCUCAUGCUGAAAAUCAAGUAUGCCAGGAUUGGUUUGCAGAACUGGGCUUUAUGUUAAGUUUUCUAGUCCAAAGAAUCAAAUAUUAUCUGUAUUGUAUUCCUACAUGUUAACGUGCUAAUUGAUUACAGAAAUAAUAUUAAUUUUUUUUUCUCUUUUGUCUGCCACUUACAAGGAUUUAUGUCAUUCUAGUAGAACAGAGUUUUUGAUAUAAAUACUUUAUUGUCUUACUUUGAAAAUUGUCCAUAUAUAGUUUAGGGAAUAAAGGUCCUAAAUAUUAUUCCA